AGUGAACGCUGGCGGCGUGCUUAACACAUGCAAGUCGAACGAGAACGGAAUAUAGCUUGCUAUAUUUGUCAGCUAAGUGGCGCACGGGUGAGUAAUGUAUAGAUAACCUGCCCUUAAGAAAGGAAUAACAGUUGGAAACGACUGCUAAUGCCCUAUAUGCCUUUAAUACAUAAGUAUGCAAGGGAAACGCUUUAGUGCUUAAGGAUGGGUCUGUAUGGUAUCAGCUUGUUGGUGAGGUAAUGGCUCACCAAGGCUAUGACGCCUAACUGGUUUGAAAGGAUGAGCAGUCACCCUGGAACUGAGACACGGUCCAGACGCCUACGGGAGGAAGCAAUGGGGAAUAGUGCACAAUGGACGAAAGUCGGAUGCAGCAACGCCGCGUGGAGGAUGACACAUUUCGGUGCGUAAACUCCUUUUAUAUAGGAAGAUAAUGACGGUACUAUAUAAAUAAGCACCGGCUAGCUCCGUGCCAGCAGCCGCCGUAA
rnacentral:rRNA from 1 species